UUGGAGAUGCCUUAGGAAGA
rnacentral:siRNA from 1 species